rnacentral:rRNA from 1 species
ACGAAUCCCUUCGGGGAUUAGUGGCGGACGGGUGAGUAGCGCGUGAGAAUCUGCCUUCAGGUUCGGGACAACCACUGGAAACGGUGGCUAAUACCGAAUGUGCCGCAACGUGAAAGAUUUAUCGCCUGAAGAUGAGCUCGCGUCCGAUUAGCUAGUUGGUGAGGUAAAAGCUCACCAAGGCGACGAUCGGUAGCUGGUCUGAGAGGAUGACCAGCCACACUGGGACUGAGACACGGCCCAGACUCCUACGGGAGGCAGCAGUGGGGAAUUUUCCGCAAUGGGCGCAAGCCUGACGGAGCAAGACCGCGUGAGGGAGGAAGGCUCUUGGGUUGUAAACCUCUUUUCUCAGGGAAGAAGAAAGUGACGGUACCUGAGGAAUCAGCCUCGGCUAACUCCGUGCCAGCAGCCGCGGUAAUACGGAGGAGGCAAGCGUUAUCCGGAAUUAUUGGGCGUAAAGCGUCCGUAGGUGGUUAUGUAAGUCUGCUGUCAAAGCACAGGGCUUAACCCUGUAAAGGCAGUGGAAACUACAAGACUCGAGUGCGGUAGGGGCAGAGGGAAUUCCCAGUGUAGCGGUGAAAUGCGUGGAGAUUGGGAAGAACACCUGUGGCGAAAGCGCUCUGCUGGACCGCAACUGACACUCAGGGACGAAAGCUAGGGGAGCGA